rnacentral:lncRNA from 1 species
UUACACCUUGUGAGCUUAAUUUAAUCAUUUUUAUUUUAUUUAGGCCAUACUUAUUAAUUACAAUAUAUUUUUCAUAAAAUAUAAUAACGUAAUGUGCAGUGCAGUGUAUUGUAAUAAUAGAUUAACUUCGACUAAAUAGUUUCUUUGCUUAUCGUCCAAGAAAUUGGUUAAUUUUCCUAAAGACAUCAAUCCAAGAAAGUUGAGGAUCAAUGCCAUCAAACGUGCGAAUUGGACUUCCGCUAAAGACUCCAGAGUUUGCCAACUCACUUUGAAGAAUCAAUGUUUCUACGGAAGUCUUCAAAAGGAGGGUGGCGUUUGGUACGUAAUACCGUUUCUACUGUAUUUCAACAUGAAACAGAAAUAGAUACGCAGAAGAACUUCAAAGGAAGCAAAGAAUUAUAAUGUUAGAAUAUUCGUAUGCUAAAACACAUGUUACAACAAAUAAGGAAGAUUAUCCUGAACACGAAACUCAAAACCCAUUCUCAUUAGACAUUUUUAUACAAGAAUCCCCUGAGAUUGAAGUUUUAACAAACGUAACAUGCUUUAAUCGUAUCAAUUUAGUAGGGGCAAAUAAAUUUUUAUCUGCAAAAAUACAGCAUCCUCAAUCGAAACUUACCAGGAACAAGCCUUUAAUAAUGUCAACUUAAAAAAAAAAACCGCUCAGUUUUGACGCUAAACUUAUAUGGAAGGGUUCUUGAAGGACGAUCAAUUAAGAUGUUUGUCACAGACAGGAAAGAACUCCAGAAUCAAUUGGUCAAGUCCAACAGUUAAAAAACACUCAAAUUAAAAUUUGCUUGUAGUCCGUCAGGGUAUGAAUCUCUUCUUGACCAAGGAUUUCCUUUGCCCUCACUGAGGACACUGCGCAGGAAAACUGAAGGCAUUUCAUUUGAAAGAUGUUUUUGACAUUGAAAAUAACGACCUUCAAUGACAAAGACAGAAAUUGUGUACUAUUGAUGGAUGAAAUGGUCAACUAUGAUCCACGGAUAGACUGUCUAAUGGGGUAGGUUACUCUUACUGAGCACACAGGCAAAUAUGCGACACAUAUUCUUGUCAUCAUGCUCGCUGGAAUUGCUAGUAGAUGGAAGCAGGUUGUUGGUUACUUCUUUACUCCAGAUUCAGAUAAUGGGUCUGAACUGGGAAAAAUUACAAAGGAUGUCGUCAUAAAAGCUUCUGAAAUUGUUCUACAUGUAAGAUCAAUUACCACAGAUAUGGGAGCAUCAAACCAGGCAAUGUUCCGUCGGUAGAAAAAAAACUAAACAAAAAUAAUUAUUUAAAAAAUAUAAUCGAAAUUCUGGAAGAUCUCAUUGAAAAAGAAAUAACAAAUAUAUCCCUACCUGAUUGUCAUAAUAUAAAGGCAAAAAUUAUUAGAAAAUUAUCGCAAAACUUUCUCGAAAGAGAGGAAUGAGGAACAAUGUUCGGGCUAGCAAAAGUGCAAGUAUGCAUGAAAUUGUGCAACACAUUUUUUGAUAAUUGGUCACAUUUAAUUAUAUGUAUACUUUAUAUUUAUUUUUAAAAAUUUAAUUCUUUAAUAAAGAUAAUAAACCAAA